CCUACGUGUGGCAGCAGUGGGGAAUAUUGCACAAUGGGCGAAAGCCUGAUGCAGCCACGCCGCGUGAGUGAAGAAGUAUUUCGGUAUGUAAAGCUCUAUCAGCGGGGAAGAAGAUGACGUUACUUGAUUAAGAAGCCCCUGCUAACGACGUGACAGCAGCCGCGGUCAUACUCAGGGGGCGAGGGCUAUCCGGAUUUGCUGGGUGGAAAGGGAGCGCAGACGGCUGGGCAAGUCUGGAGUGAAGGCGCGGGGCCCAACCCCGGAACUGCAUUGGAUACUGGGCGGCUAGAGUACUGGAGGGGCAGGCGGAAUUCCUGGUGUAGCGGUGAAAUGCGUAGAGAUCAGGAGGAACACCAGUGGCGAAGGCGGCCUGCUGGACAGUAACUGACGUUGAGGCUCGAAAGCGUGGGGAGCAAACAGGAGUAGAUACCCUAGUAGUC
rnacentral:rRNA from 1 species